ACGCUCGACACCUACGGGGGGCAGCAGUUGGGAAUAUUGGACAAUGGAGGAAACUCUGAUCCAGUGACGCCGCGUGAAGGAAGAAGGUCUUCGGAUUGUAAACUUAUUUUGUCAGGGAAGAAAAAUGACUGUACCUGAAGAAAAAGCACCGGCUAACUACGUGCCAGCAGACGCGGUAAUCUGAGCGGGCUGGCAAGGC
rnacentral:rRNA from 1 species